UACGUAGGGGGCUAGCGUUGUCCGGAAUCACUGGGCGUAAAGCGCGUGUAGGCGGCCCACUAAGUCUGAUGUGAAAGCCCGGGGCUCACCCCCGGAAGUGCAUUGGAAACUGGUGGACUCGAGUCCCGGAGAGGAGAGUGGAAUUCCUGGUGUAGCGGUGAAAUGCGUAGAUAUCAGGAGGAACACCGGUGGCGAAGGCGGCUCUCUGGACGGUGACUGACGCUGAGACGCGAAAGCGUGGGGAGCAAACAGG
rnacentral:rRNA from 1 species